UAAUUUAUUUGUGGAUCAAGUAUGAUCGUAAAUCCCAGAUCAUAUUGGGCUGGUAAAUUCUGACUAGGCCCAAUGACAGCAGUCUAAUUAUACCAAGUUGGUAAAUUUCAGAGAAUAACUAAAUUAUUAUAAUCAUGAGGAGUCUUACUUAAACAAAUCAAUAUUCAUCAAGAUAAAGUGUAAAUAAUUCAAAUAUGAACAUGAACAUCUCAUAUUAGGCUGGUAUAUUCAGACUAGGCCCAAUUAUACCAAGUUGGUAAAUUUAUACUGUGGUAAAUUCAGACCGUGACACCGGUGACCCAUGAGCUCCGCAUCAGCCUGGAGGAGGUGUUCAGUGGUUGCACCAAGAAAAUGAAAAUCUCCCGGCACAAACUGAACCCAGAUGGCCGCAGCACACGCGCAGAGGAAAAGAUCCUCAUGGUGGAGGUGAAGGAGGGAACCAAGAUUACUUUCCCUAAAGAGGGCGACCAGACACCAAAUAACGUCCCUGCUGACAUCGUAUUCAUUGUGAAGGACAAACCGCAUCCGGUGUUUAAGAGGGACGGAUCAGACAUCAUCUAUCCAGCCAAAAUCUCACUCAAAGAGUUGGGUGGAGCCUGUAGUGCAUAUGACCUAAGUUAAAAAGGCUCUCUGUGGUUGUACAGUAAAGGCCCCUACGUUGGACAAACGCACCGUGUCCCUACCGCUUCAGGACGUCAUCAUCCGCCCUGGGAUGAAGCAGCGCAUCACAGGUGAAGGCCUUCCUUUGCCGAAGAGCUCUGAUCGCCGUGGCUAUUUAAUCGUUGAGUUUGAGGUGAAAUUUCCAGAGAGAUUGAGUCGGGACGCCAAGGACACUGUUGCACGGGUUUUACCCUCGUAAUGUUUGCACAGGACAACGUUGUGUCCACCGACUAAAACCUGUGCCGCAUGAAACUCUGAACUCAGUAACUCUGAACUGCAAUCUGCUGAGUCUCUCUGGAUGACCAAUCUUUCUUUUCUGCACUUUCCUCUUUUCCUAAACUGAAAAGACUGUUUGUUUUUCGUAAAUGAACUUGUUUUGAAAUUCUCUUUUAAAUGUACAGUGAGUAAAACUGCAUGUACUCCUGGAGGUUAUUCCACAGACUGAGUGAGCCUGAGGAGCUGGGCUUAUUUCAACAGCCCCAGCUAGUUUCUCUCAAGUUCAUGUCCAUAACAUUCACUCAGUUACUGUGGCAGCGUGUGCUUUUGGAUAAGGCUGCUCAGGCGAACGUUUAGGCGAGUUUGAUGAAUGAUGACGUUGCCUUGAAUUUUGGUAUUUUUAACGAAACCGAUGAUUUGAUUAGCAUAUUCUGUUGGCUGUUUUCUACCAGGCAGCUUCUGGAACAUCCUUGAUCAUGUCUUGUGGAGUUUAAUAAACAAUCCUUGCUGUAUGGGGUGAAAAGCAGUGUUUCCCACAGAAAUUUUGGAGACUAUGGGGGCAGCCCAUGGGGGGGGAGGCAGCGUGGCGUGCAUGUCCAGUUGAACUGCAGGGGUGCGCAGGGGGGUUGUUUAGCGCGUGGCGUGCGUGUCCGGUUGAAUUGCAGGGGUGCGCGGGGGUUGUUUAGCCUACUAAUACUACUAAACUAAGACUAACAAAGAACAAAUUCGUUGGUAUUGGUUAUGCACCUUGUAUUUUAUUUUAGCAUGUUGCUACAGAGGGCAGUCCUACAAGAAGAACAUAUUACAGAUAGCAACCAAACCAAAAAUCCUACAAUACUUCACACCCUGAACUCCUACAAAACAAGGACUUCUAGCUCUGCUGUAUGUCAAAAGUGACCCUGACAAAUGCCUGCCCUAUUUACAAAGACCACACCCUGCACUUGUGCAUUUGAUUUUUCUUGGCUUUGAGAAAAAGAGUUCGAGUGCCCUUUCAUAAUUUAUAUCUUCUGGUUGUGGCCCGUUAAUGGAAAUCCUCAAGCAGGCGGCCAGGUGCUCUCCUUGCAGUCUGUUCCGAAGGUCUGUUUUGACCUAAAAUGGCAAACAACUUGUUACUACAAUGAGUCAUGUGAUUGUAGAGCUCACUCUGAAAUAUUUAAUUAAGUGAAAGUGAGAUUGAACUGAGGUGGGAUUUGAGCAUAAAAACAAUGGGUAAAUGUAAAUUGAAAUUCACAUCACUGGUUUGCCUGCAGAUGUCCUUACCCUGUUCAUUGUGGAAAAGUCUCUUUUACAAUUCCCGCUCGACACCGGCACAACAAGGGCAAUCGCUGCUGAGUGGCUGAGUAAUGGGUAUAUCUGCCCCCAUUCAUCGCACUCACUUGCUAUAGGAGUGUUAUACCAAUUUGACAUCCUGACAAAGACAGCAAGCAGUUGAUGUUAGGCCUACCUCAGUCACUACCUCUUCAUCCUGAGGUGAUUUUCGAUCCCUCUUUUUGAAAUAAUUCAAAAUGCUCAUCAUCUGAAUUAACAAAACAAAUUUAGCAUCAGUUUAAUAAGGAUCGGAGAUUUUCUGUUCCAGCUGUAGCGUCUACAAUAAGGCUGACAUCGUCUGACAUUCACCGCGUUGCAUUAAGGCCUGCGUUAGUGGAGAAACACUCUUCAUCAGUACAUUUGAAAACGAUCAAAUUCGAGUCAAGAAGUUAAUUUAAUUAAGUAGGUAACUAACAUUACAUUCCCUUAAUGAUGUGGCUUAAUAGCUUCACCUUUAGAAGGUAGCCUAUUAGAAAAGGCUAAAAAUAAUUUUCCGUCUCACCAGUAAUAAAUCGCGUUAAGGCUACUAGCACUAAUUCUCAAAAGUGGCAUCGAAGUUCGCUCUCUGUUAGAAUAGACUACUUUUCCCUUUUAACAUGUCCAUGCAGACCUAGAUUAGUUCAUCACUGCUGUCACUUCACGUCUCCAUCACUUGGAUAGACUGCGCACAUACAAUCUAGGGCGUAAUUUUGGGUAGGGACGCUAGGGACGUGUCCCUACCAAUAUUCAGCCGCUACUGUGUAAUCACGAUCAAUAAAACCGAUGUCCUAACCUGAGCAAUGAUUAUAUGGCACACAAAGGGUUAAAUGUAUGACACUGCUAAUAAUCCCCCCUCUAACGUAGAUAUCAUUCUGUGAUUAGCUACCUGUUUCUCGCUAACUUACAUGGUUGGCUAUCCCAGCUGUCACUCCAUCUGCUGUAAAAGCAGCACACUUCCCACAGCAGCUGUGACUACCCGCCCAUCAACCCCCCCGUAUCUCACACGUACACACCUGACCUACCCCACGCACCCCCCACUCUCCGUCAGCCUACAAAUUGAGCUGGACUUUGAUGUCCAUGCAUGUUUGCCUUUCGACUCGCAUGCCGACUUGAGUAUCAUGGACGACGGCCCCCCUCCCAAGAAACGAGACAUUCGUUCAUUCUUCUUCAAAGUCAAGAAUGUAAGUCCAGGGUUUCCGUCGAGCUUUAAAAACUCAACAAAAUCCUUUUGAUGUAUGGAAACCCUUCAUAAAAGUAUUGCUGCGGCUCCUUAGGCAGGUUUAGCAACGUGACAGGACGCAUCAGAGCUAGGCUACUGCAUAGCUGCAGAGAAAAGGAAUGCUGGAGCAAUGUAACUUGGUGUUAGAUAAUAUCCUCGAUGAACGAAUGUUAAAUUUAUAGACCUAAUGGUUUUACAGAAUGUAAGUAGCCAGAUGUAGGCUACUGCAUGGCCAUGCAGAUGUGCGACUUGCAUUUCAGAAUCAACAGCGUGACAGCCGCUGAGUCUGCUGCUGAGUCUGCUGCAUUCACCGUUUUACAGAGACCUCUUUCUACAACCCCUGGCAAAAAGUGUGGAGUCACCAGUCUUGAAUGAGCACUCAUUCACACGUUUUAUUCUGUAGAACAAACUCAGAUCACAAACAUGAUACAAUAAUAAAGUCAUUCCAAAGUGCACCUUCUUGGCCUUCAGAAACACUAAAAGAAAUGAAGAAAAAGCAUUGUGGAAGUCAGUAAAUGUUACUUUUAUAGACCAAGCACAGGGAAAAAAAAUAUGGAAUCACUCAAUUCUGAGGAAAAAAAUAUGGAAUCAUGAAAAACAGACAAACAAAAGAACAUUCAAAACACAUCAUUAGUACUUAGUUGCACCACCUCUGGCUUUUAUAACGGCUUGCAGUCUCUUAGGCAUGGACUUGAUGAGUGACAAACAGUAUUCUUCAUCAAUCUGGUGCCAACUCUCUUUGAUUGCAGUUGCCAGAUCAGCUUUGCAGGCCGGAGCCUUGUCGUGGACCAUUUUUUUCAAUUUCCACCACAAGUUUUCUAUUGGGUUGAGAUCUGGACUAUUUGCAGGCCAUGACAUUGACUGGAUGUGUCUUUCACCAAGGAAUGCUUUCACAGUUUUUGCUCUAUGGCACAAUGCGUUGUCAUCUUGGAAAAUUAUUUCAUCAUCCCCAAACAUCUUUUCAACUGAAGGGAUAAGAAAACUGUCCAAAAUGUCAAUGUAAGCCUGUGCAUUUAUUGAAGAAGUAACCACAGCCAUCUCCCCAGUGCCUUUGCCUGACAUGCAGCCCCAUAUCAUCGGGAUUGUGGAAAUUUGGAUGUUUUCUUCAGGCAGUCCUCUUCAUAAAUCUCACUGGAACGGCACCAAACAAAAGUUCCAGCAUCAUCACCUUGUCCAAUGCAGAUUCGUGAUUCAUCACUGAAUAACUUUCAUCCAGUCAUCCACAGUCCAUGAUUGCUUCUCCUUAGCCCAUUGUAGUCUUGUUCUUUUCUGUUUAGGUGUCAAUGAUGGUUUUCUUUUAGCUUUCCUAUGUGAAAAUCCCAUUUCCUUUAGGCGAUUUCUCACGGUUCGGUCACAUACUUGUACAUUGACUCCAGCUUCCUCCCAUUUAUGCUUCAUUUGUUUUGUUGUACUUUUUCGGUUUUCAAGACAUAUGGCCUUAAGUUUUUUGUCUUGACGCUUUGAUGUCUUCCUUGGUCUACCAGUACGCUUGGCUUUAAAAACCUUCCCAUGCUGUUUGUACUUGGUCCAUAUCUUAGCCCACAUAUUCAACCCAGUUCGUGUCUGAUCCGGUGCUGUGUAAACAUUGAGGAUACAAGGAAACGCAGUGCUGAGCUCUAGCUGACAUCGUCAUUGGACAACGUCACUGUGACAUCCACCUUCCUGAUUCGCUGGCGUUGGGAUCACACACACAGCGGCUCAGUCCCGAAUCACUGCUCGUGCGCUUCACUUGCGCGCUCUGUGAGCUGCGCAGGGCCGGAGUGCACACCCUCCAGAGGGCACUCGCUGUUCAGGGUGGAAUGAUUUGGAGCGCAGGAGGAAGCGCUGAGCCGCACUGACAUAUUUAUUUACACAUUUCAACCUCCUUCAGGCGCUUAAACUCAGUGAGAACAUGAACAUCACAGCCAGGUGUGUUUAUCUGCUGGAGAAGGUGUUCGCUUGCCAUCCUUCCACUUGCAAGUGGUGAGUGACUUGCGCAUGCCCGAUAUGCACUGGGAUCAUGUGACGUGCCGUCUAAUUAGUCAUGUGAUUAGCGUAUCCGUGUAUUGGCAUUGCUGUGUGCACGCGAAUCGUGUAUAGAGAUCUUGCAGUCACGUGACCGGAAAGUACACAGCCGCCAUCUUGUCGGUAAAAAACACAGCUGAAUACUGCUGCACUCGUGUACAGAAUGGAUCAAUUUCAACCGACGGACUACACGGCUCAUUUUUCUAAUGAACAGAUAACUAGAUAUGUGUCUAAAAUAAACGAUCUACAGAUUAAUGACCCUUAUGGCUUACCGGACAGAGUUUUCACGACCGGAUUUUGAACUGCCAGAGGUGGAAUACCCAGACGUGUAUAAUUACCUCAUUAACUUUCCCUCGCUGUUCAGUGGUGAAGCACUGCGUGCUUAUAAAUCUCUGCACAGUUAUCUUUACAGAAAUUCAGGAUUUGUCAGCGACUCAGAUGUGGCAUCUUGUAAAGGGCAAUUCCAUGUAAAUGUCAACCUCACCAUGCAAAAAUAAAGCAACAUGUAAUACAUCAAAACCACUCCCAGAGAUCUCACCUAGGCCUGUAUUUUACAGAUGUGAAUAAGUUGAACCAAUUUGUAACCAACCUAAUAUGUCACUGUCAGUCUUUCUUUCUUAUAAUGUAAAACCCAAGCUAAAAUCAACUUUGAUCAUGUACAAUUCUAUAUUAUUGCCACAAGCCACAGAAAUGUAUGCUAAAAUCCACAAAACAGCAAAACAAUAGCCAUCCUAAAUAUUAUUUAAGAACUUUGAUAGUUUUAGCUGAUAUUUAGAGAGUUUUUCAAAGGGUUAUGGUGGUUAAAUUGCUGAUUUUCUAAACAUAUGCCAUGUCUAUUUCAGACGCGUCACAUCCAUAACGGAAUUAUGUCACAUCCAUAACGCUGAUUUUUUCUUCCUAGAUUCUGCUUGAAAUAGAAAAUAUUUUAAACAAAGGCUUUUUUUAUUUUCAGCUAAGACUCCUUUAUUAAAUGCAUGCCUGCAUUUGGAUAUUAUGUUUGCAAUUUCACAGAGUUUGAUGAAUAUGUGUAGUCACCCUGGAAAUGGGGUAUUUUUUCUGUCACAUCCAUAACGCAUGUCUUUUUUGGCAUUUUCUAGAGUUCUAAAUGUACUACGGGAAUUCGUUUUUUCCCAUGACUUCUCCAAUAUGAGAGGUCUUAAAAAUAUACAACAAAUUUUAAAAUACUGGAAAGGAAUAAAAAUUAACUAGGUCAGUUGUUGCCAUUUUGAGUCCAAAUGUCACAUCCAUAACGCUGGAAUUGCUCCAAACAAGAAUCCUCAUUGGAUGGGUAAGUCACUUAAGUAUUGAGUAUAGCACUGACCAGCCGAUUAUAGAAUAGAAUAAGGUAAUUCCAGCUGUAAUUCCAAAUCGUCCGUCUUGUUUACCAUGGAUCUGGCGUUGGAGAGAUAGAGGCUUAGCAGUGGAGAUUUGAGUGGCUGUUUUCUGAGCUUAGUCAACAGGCCGGCUCUGCAGCCUCGCUUUUGCUUCCGCUCCCGGCGCCGCCUCCUUCGCUUUGCUUCCGAUAACAAUCCACGGAGACCCCGCUGGUCUCGCUAUCUCGUCCGGAAUGUUGUGCAUGCGAUGGAAAUCGCUACAAACCGUCAUUUUCUGCUGGAAACCAAUGUCCAGUAAGUCCAUACAGUUGUAGUGGAUAUUGAAGUCCGGUACAGAUGAACAACAUGCAAAAAUACACACAAAAAACAUAAAAAACGUGCACAGGUAGGGAGAGCUUGUAGCCGCAGCCGUUGUAGUAGAAUUGUACAUAGUAGGGUUUUCCAGAAGAAAUGGUAGAAGUAGAAGGCGGAAAUAUGGCGUUUGACCAACAAGAUGGCGUCUGUCACAAUCUGGAUCGGCUGUGACGUCACAUGCAAGUGCUCCAUUGGCAUUGCUGUGUGUACGCGAAUCGUUUUAAAAACGUUAAUCUGAUGAUCCGCUGAUACGGUCUAAUGUAAACGCCACCUGAGAUACAGCUGACUGUGAACAGCCCACAUCUUUGGCAACCAUGCUUGAAGAGUUACCUUCUUUUAAGAAGUUUGACGAUCCUCUCUUUUGUUUCAAGAGACAUCUCUCUUGUUGGAGCCAUGAUUCUUGCCAAUCCACUUGGUCCAGCAGCCCUCCAAGGUGUGAUAACUGUGCUGUUUCUAACUGCAGACUAACGAGCAGAUCUAAUCUGAGGCAGGUGUCAAUUUAGGGAAAGGAAAUUGACUGGUGUUUCUGAAGGCCAAGAAGUUGCACUUUGGAAUGACUUUAUUAUUACAUCAUGUUUGUGAUCUCAGUUUGUUCUACAGAAUAAAA